AUACGUAGGGGGCGAGCGUUGUCCGGAAUGAUUGGGCGUAAAGGGCGCGUAGGCGGCCCGGUAAGUCUGGAGUGAAAGUCCUGUUUUUAAGAUGGGAAUUGCUUUGGAUACUGUCGGGCUUGAGUGCAGGAGAGGUAAGUGGAAUUCCCAGUGUAGCGGUGAAAUGCGUAGAGAUUGGGAGGAACACCAGUGGCGAAGGCGACUUACUGGACUGUAACUGACGCUGAGGCGCGAAAGUGUGGGGAGCAAACAGGGUUAGAUACCCUGGUAGUCCACACUGUAAACGAUGAAUGCUAGGUGUAGGGGGUAUCGACCCCUUCUGUGCCGCAGUCAACACAAUAAGCAUUCCGCCUGGGGAGUACGGCCGCAAGGUUGAAACUCAAAGGAAUUGACGGGG
rnacentral:rRNA from 1 species